rnacentral:rRNA from 1 species
GAAAGUCGAGCGGUCGAGAGAAGCUUGCUUCUCUUGAGAGCGGCCGACGGGUGAGUAAUGCCUAGAGAAUCUGCCUGGUAGUGGGGGAUAACGCUCGGAAACGGACGCUAAUACCGCAUACGUCCUACGGGAGAAAGCAGGGGACCUUCGGGCCUUGCGCUAUCAGAUGAGCCUAGGUCGGAUUAGCUAGUUGGUGAGGUAAUGGCUCACCAAGGCGACGAUCCGUAACUGGUCUGAGAGGAUGAUCAGUCACACUGGAACUGAGACACGGUCCAGACUCCUGCGGGAGGCAGCAGUGGGGAAUAUUGGACAAUGGGCGAAAGCCUGAUCCAGCCAUGCCGCGUGUGCUGAAGAAGGUCUUCGGAUUGUAAAGCACUUUAAGUUGGGAGGAAGGGCAUUAACCUAAUACGUUGGUGUCUUGACGUUAACCGAGCAGAUAAGCACCGGCUAACUCUGUGCCGGGCAGCCCGCGGUAAUACAGAGGGUGCAAGCGUUAAUCGGAAUUACUGGGGCCUAAAUGCGCGCGUAGUGUGGUUCGUUAAAGUUGGAUGUGAAAUCCCCGGGCUCAACCUGGGGAACCGCAUUCAAAAUCGGACGAGCUAGAGUAUGGUAGAGGGUGGUGGGAAUUUCCUGUGUAGCCGGUGGAAAUGCGUAGACUAUAGGAAGGAACCCCAGUGGCGAAGGCCGACCACCUGAGACUGAUACUGACACUGAGGUGCGAAAGCGUGGGGGAGGCAAACAGGGACUUAGAUGCCCCUGGUAGUCCCUGCCGUAUAAACUAUGUCAACUAGCCGGGGAAACCCUAUGAGCUUUUAGUGGCGCAGCUAGCGCAAAAGUUUUCCCCGGGAGUAGGAAAGGC